UGCUGUAUCCUUUGUUUCUUAAAAAGACUAAAAGGAGUUGCCUGCUGUCAGUAAGCUGGUACAGAAGGUUGAUGAAAAUUGUUACUGAGUA
rnacentral:snoRNA from 1 species